rnacentral:rRNA from 1 species
UACGGGGGGGGCAAGCGUUGUUCGGAAUUACUGGGCGUAAAGGGCUCGUAGGUGGCCAACUAAGUCAGACGUGAAAUCCCUCAGCUUAACUGGGGAACUGCGUCUGAUACUGGAUGGCUUGAGUUUGGGAGAGGGAUGCGGAAUUCCAGGUGUAGCGGUGAAAUGCGUAGAUAUCAGGAGGAACACCGAAGGCGAAGGCAGUGUCCUGGCGAGUAUCCUGACGCUGAGGUGCGAAAGCCAGGGGAGCGAACGGG